rnacentral:ncRNA from 1 species
AAACGAACGAUGACGAGGUUAAGUAGAGAUCUGUGCACCCGGACAGAGAACGCGGCCAUAGGCUGGAAGCCGCUCGGGAAGCAGAUGAUCGAAUUGCCCCUCUGAGUGGAUCGCCGAAACAGAAAGCAGUAGGCGAAGACGGCAGCCGCCGUUAUCGGCACAGAGUGGAGAUUAUCUCAAACAAAGUGGAACCGCGCCAAAGAGGCGUCUUUGUG